AGAGGGGAGUUAUCUUCUGCAAUCAACCCUUUUAAACAGCCUUCUUCAUUCAAACAGCUGGCACAUACAAGAGCUUAAAACAUAAAAAGCAAAGUGACCUAUUGUGUUUUGACUCAAAGUAGAUACAGAAGUAACCUUCAAGGUUACCUUGCCCUAUGCGCGGCCUCAGGAAGGAAAAAACCACAGUUUCAGCAAAGGAAUUUCUUGCCUGGCUAGAGGCCACACCCGCCACAACAACUGAUGGCAGGAAAGCAUUUGGAUUCACAACUCUACCCGUAGCACCCAGCCGGAGGCAAAGCAAAACUUUCUCAUUUUCAGAGAAGAAAAGAAACUCUUGCUCAAUAAGUAGCAAUUAUGCUGCAGAAUUUAUAUGCUGAGCACGGCUGAAUGUACGAGCACCAGAUCAGUCAACCAUAGCUUUAGUGCUUUGAGUAUGAUUAACAGAAUGAACUUUCAAAGGUCAAUUAAAUGUCAACACAUUUUAAAGAGAUAUUCUUUUUAAGCUGCGGCAAUGUGUAACAGUACCUUCCAGAGCUGCUGUGCACUUUCACCUUCAAAUUUUACCCAUUUUAUACUUACAUGUGCAGAUAUAAAGAUGAUAACUAAUUAACCUUUGAUAGAAAAUAAUGGCUAUUUACACUCCUGGCUUUUCUAUCACUAAGCUGUCCUUAUUACUUGUGUUGAAGCAAGUACACAGAGACACUUGCCCCAGAAUUUCAUUUCAAUUGUUGAGGGUGUGAGCAAAGUGAGAAGAAAAGGAGCAAGAACAGUUUGAAAGUCUAAUAACUUAGUAAACGAAAAUGAGAAGAGGCUUUUGAUAUGCAAUUGAGCUGCCUCGAUGUGAAUCUGGGGGAGGAUGGGGGGACGGGACCGUAACUGAAUUAAUUAUGAACGCAUUAAUCAUGACUUUAGGCAGCCCAGUGAUUUAUCUCUUCACUUCUAAACAUUUCUGAAAAUUCAAACUUCAGCUAACCAGCUUAGGACAUCUGAAAACAAACGCUGAAAAGCUGAACGCUUAGUACAAUUCAUUUAAGUUACCCCUCAAACCGGAUGCUCAAAUCAUUAAUUAGUUUAAAAGUUAAAAAAAAAUACAAUUAAAAAAAAAAACCCCAAAGUCUUCAUCUCAGUACAAACUAAAAGAAACAAAAUCCUGACCAAGGCCUCCCAACUCUACCAUAAUCAUUCUGACAUGAACAAUAUUUAUUCGAGACCAGAGCUAAAGAAUAAUUUGAGAGUUGAGAAAAACCAGCAGAGAGCCGCGCUCUGUGCAGACGCCAGAAAGAAACGGGUGGGAGAGUUUUCCUUUCACAAGGGCUGCGGUCCCGGCAUCUCUCCACAGGAGUGUUGAUUUUCACCUUAAAUGAAAUGGGUGAGGUGUCAUCAGGGAAGUCCAGCUAUUAAAACAAGCUGCAGCACAGCCCACCACACCAGCUGAGGUCCAAACAGAACCGUGUGAUGCUGGAGGCAGCAGACCUGCAGAGCACCCACGAGGCACAGCCCCAGAUCUCAGCCAGAAGCAAGGACAGCAGGGGUUGGGUAUUUCUGCAUCAUGCUACAUUCUGGAGGAUGUGAACAGUCUCAAAGCUUCACGUUAAGAUGUUGCAGCCCAUCAACUACUGCUGACUUCUAAAGAAAAGUAAUCACUACCAUGACCAAGGGAUAGCACUGCAUUGUUUUAAAGGAUUCCAGACAAACCUCUAGCCCAGUCAGAGACACUGACCUCUACUAAAGCCUCUUACAGCCUCUGCAUUAGGCCCUAUGGACAGGGACAGAGCACUACACAAUGGAAACAUUUCUGAUGUUGCAGCCCCACUAUCAAACAUUUCUGAAAAUUUAAAUGCCUGUUUAAUUAAUCUUUAACUCAUGAGAGCAUGCUUUAGGGAAUGCUGAGGGUGACAAGGAAGGAGUCUCCUGUACACGUGAAAGCAAACAUCAGGCUUUCAUGCUGAGUGCUGUUACUGCAGUAUGAGACAAUGCAAGACCUCCCUAUUUCUAACAAAACUAAUGAGUAGUGUUCUUCGAAUUGAGAGCCAACUUCUUUGUGCAAUACUGCCCCCCUCUGCCAUCACCAUUAACCCACGAGAAGCACACUCUAUGAUAUUCAAAAUAGUUUUGGUUUUUAUUUGUGGGGUUUUUUUGUUGUUUGGUUUGUUUUUGUAGGAAAUUUGAAAUUUGCUUUUGUUUUGAUCUGUACCAGGAGGCUAUGUCCUCCAUCCCUUGCUUUCUUCAGCAACUAUGACUGUAUCAUCCUUUAAAUAAGUUUUAAAAAUAUAAAGUUUUAUUAUGAAAAAUGGAAGCUAUUUUAAAAACUUUUUCAUUGGAUUCCAUCCCAUAUGCAAAUCUGCAUAACAUAUGUACUUUCCCAGGCUACACAAACAAGAAAUACUUGUGUAUUGAUAAAUAAACUUCUAUGAGAGGACUUUGUGUUUGGAGUUUUUUCCCUUCCUUUUCAGUCCUUGCUGAAAAGAAGUUGUCCUAAGGUGAUUUUUGUCACUCUCUUAAGCAGAUGUUGUCAAUCAAAAGAACUAGUAGAACACUGUCAAAAAAUGCAAAAGCACAUUUUCCUGUCUCGUUCUUCCAGUUUCAUUCAUAUGUUUGCUAAUGUAAAGCGCCUACUUUUUCUGCAAGACAUUUACAUAAAGUAAUCCAAAAGGACAAAAAAGGGUUCAAGAGAUCUUACAAAUAAGCAACAAAUGCUGGCACUUUUAUUUAAUUUCACUGGAAAUGGGGAAAAUACUCCAAAUUUCUGCCUGGCCUAAAGUUCAGACCAUCACAAUUCUUCAUUUAACAAUUCUGGCAGCAGAGAGCACAGAAAAAAACCUGGUCCUUUGCCUCAAGAAGUCUGUGUUCUAAGCUAAAUUCUCUUUUGCCUAAUACAAAGUCCUGCACAAUAAGAGCAGGGCAAAACACACACAACUUACAUAUACCAAUGAAUUAGUGUUCUAAUGCUCAUGAGAAGCCCAUCUAAUUAAGUGUUGGAGCUGAGAAGGAUUACAUGCCCCAAAUAAAAAAAAAAUCAAUGUAUCAUUCUAUUUAUUUUUAAUACAAACAGGAAUAGUUCAACAGAAAUUUAAGUGUUUUUCCAAGAAUAUGUUACAUUAGUUAAUGUACUAAAAGUCUUCCACCUCUAGAAGCUCCUGUGAGCAACAGUACAGUAAAUCAUGAAUGGAAAUCAUUCUGGUGCCCUCCUUUCUUCUACUCCAUGAAUUUGGACAAGUUUGAGCCCAGUGGGAAAGUGACAGCCAAAAAGGACAAAUGUGUUGCAACAACCUAGAGGAGCUACUCUGACCACCAGAUGGAGCCCACACUGUUCCAUAAUAGGAUGGAAAUACAAUUACAAGCAGAUGCACAGGGUGGCUUUGGUUGGUUUGUUUGUUUUCAGAAGCUGCAUGUUUCAAAAUUCUUUAUGGCAUCAAGGCAUCUCAAAACCACUGGGAAUUAUGGAUACAGACUUAAGACCCCAGGAAAACUAGCCUUAUUACCCCCAAGUCACACAGUUUAAAAAUGGUUUUUAAUUAAGCACAGUACAACAAAACACACUAUGAAAUGUUCUGUGAAAUAUCCUGGGUUGGUGUCCCAAAAUUCCUGUCCAAGAUGAACAGAUGGGCAACAAUGAAAAGAAGAGCAACAUCUCCAUCUCCAUUUAUGGGAGAUAGAGAAGAGCAGAAACUCAUCUCAAGAUACAUCAAGCAAUUUAGGUCAACAUUUACAUUUGAAAUCUACCAUCAAGCACACAGAUUUUUUGCAUCUUGGCAAAGAUUAAUACCUUAACCACAAAAUGUCACGGUGUUAGGGCUACACCAUCAUACUUGGUCCUGUACAGUAGAAUUUUAUUAUUUCAUUUCAAAUUUACCCUCAACAAUUUGAACACCAGAAGCACCAUGUGAUGACAAGAAAGACUGUGUAAUAGACAAGACAUAGGAGAGGGGUUUCUGUUUGCUGGUUUGUUUGUUGUUGUUUUUUUUUUUUUAAAUUUUUAAAACAUGCUUUGCAAAGUUAAAUUCUCAAAAUCCAACAGUGUUGUUUUGACCCUAUUCUUGUUGACUUAAAUGAGAUUUUUUUCAUGGACAAGACAACAAAGAAAAUAAAUCAGUGAUUCUGGAAUAAGAACUAAGCAACAGGCAUUAAAAUAAGUUCUCUAGAGAAGAAAAUAAAAUACAACAUUCACCUUAACAUGCUAGAGACAUCUCUCCACCACCCUUCAUACAUGUUCUCGGAUUUUGUCUUCUGAAGCUGUCUACCACCUAUACUUAUUUACUGAUCUAGUUAAUAACAAAAUAAAAUCCAUAUGAAGGAAAAAAUCCUUAUUCAUCACAAGUUUUAACACUGUUUUCUAGUAGAUGUACAUUUCACUGAAAUAUUUAUAUUCAAUAUUUUAGUGAAAUGUUCUGAUCUUAAAAGCAGACCUAGCUUUCAAUUAAGGACACAAAAAAUUUCUAUCUGCUUUGGAGGCCGUUGAAGACAAGAUAAAUGUCAAUCAUCUUUAUAGAUCACCAGAACAAGUUUUGUUUCCUCAAAAACCACUUUGAAAGGUUAAAGAAACAUACGUCUUCUGUAUUAGUAAGUGUUUUCAUAAAUAUGAACCUUUUCAACAAUGGGGCAGCUGCACUACUAGGAUGAAAAUGUAAACUCCAAAGACAGGAAAAAUGUUCUGAUCACUGUCACAGCCUUGUAAUAGUAAAACAGAGCCAGAUAUCUCACAGAUCACUUACUCCCAUCCUGAUAUUGCACCAUAUCUGAAGAAUAAGAAGAAGUCUGCUGUGGCAAAUAUGAGAUGGAUUUCUUAGUGAAGUAAGGUGGGAUUGAUCUUGUAUGGAAGGUCAAGUAAUAUUUUACUGCCCUGAUAAAUUUGAUUAUCUUGGAAAAUCUGUCAGCACCACACAGAACUAAUAUCUUCUACUGGUGGAAGACUACAACUGUACUGGUGCUACCACCUGAUCAGGUCACAGUGGAGAAGGCUACCCAGAACAACACAGGAGUGCAUUACAUAGCCAAAUAUGUAACUGGGUCAUUUAAUUCAGUUCCACAUCACUGCAAAGUGAACAGUGUCUUACCUAACUUUAAUCUUGCAAGAUCAAGCACAACGCUCAGUGACAACAUAAAAGCUCUUCAAAAAACAAGUGAAAAACAACAAAAAACCCCUUGAAUACCAGCAGUGGAACCACAGGAGACCAACGUGUAUAGGUCAAGUUAUGUCUCCUUAGAAUGCUAUUGUUUAUAAAUAUUUCUCAAAACCCCUUAAAGUAAGUGCUUCAUGGUCAUGACCAUAGUUUCUAAAUACUCCAAUCCUUUCCUCCCUUCCUUGCUGCUUUAAAGCACUACACAAACAUCAUCACUGAGGUGUAUCAAUAUGCUGGAUGAAGUUCAAAGGAGAAGAAAAUGCUUCAUACUCAAGUAGAUAAUC